rnacentral:rRNA from 1 species
AAAACCUUCGUUAAGGAAUUAGGCAACAUGACUCCGUAACUUCGGGAUAAGGAGUGCCGCAGUAGAGUAAGGCAUCUAACGAGGCUGAGCUCGAGACGGCCGCAGAGAAGUGGCCCUACCGACUGUUUACCAAAAUCACAGGUCUCUGCAAACGCGUAAGCGGAAGUAUAGGGGCUGACGCCUGCCCAGUGCCGGAAGGUUAAAGGGAGAGGUUAGCGCAAGCGAAGCUUUGAACUGAAGCCCCGGUGAACGGCGGCCGUAACUAUAACGGUCCUAAGGUAGCGAAAUUCCUUGUCGGGUAAGUUCCGACCCGCACGAAUGGCGUAACGAGUGGGGCACUGUCUCGACGAAGGACCCGGUGAAAUUGAAAUAGGCGUGAAGAUGCGUCUUACCCGCAGCAGGACAAAAAGACCCCGUGGAGCUUUACUGUAGCCUGGCAUUGUGUUAGGGCUGAGUCUGUGUAGGAUAGCUGGGAGACUGGGAAACUGGAGCGCUAGCUUCGGUGGAGUCGUCCUUGGAAUACCAGCCUGAUUCAGUUUUGACCCUAACCUGCGACCCUGAUCGGGCGUGGGGACAGUACCAGGUGGGCAGUUUGACUGGGGCGGUCGCCUCCUAAAAGGUAACCGAGGCGCCCAAAGGUUCCCUCAGGCUGAAUGGAAACCAGCCGCAGAGUGCAAAGGCAUAAGGGAGCUUGACUGCGAGACCUACAAGUCGAGCAGAGACGAAAGUCGGGCUUAGUGAUCCUACGGCUCCGAGUGGAAGGGCCGUGGCUUAACGGACAAAAGCUACCCCGGGGAUAACAGGCUGGUGGUGCCCAAGAGUUCACAUCGACGGCACCGCUCGGCACCUCGAUGUCGGCUCGUCGCAUCCUGGGGCUGAAGUAGGUCCCAAGGGUUGGGCUGUUCGCCCAUUAAAGCGGUACGCGAGCUGGGUUCAGACCGUCGUGAGACAGGUCGGUCUCUAUCCGCUGUGGGCGUAGGGGAUUUGAGGGGAGCUGCUCCUAGUACGAGAGGACCGGAGUGGACCAACCGCUGGUGUGCCAGUUGUCUCGCCAGAGGCAUAGCUGGGUAGCUAAGUUGGGCAGGGAUAACCGCUGAAAGCAUCUAAGUGGGAAGCUUGCCCCAAGAUGAGAUCCCCCAUAGCAUAAGCUAGUAAGUGCGCUGGAAGACUACCAGCUUGAUAGGCGGCAGGUGUACGCACAGCAAUGUGUUGAGCUAAGCCGUACUAAUGCACGAGGGCUUAAUUC